GUCAAAGGACCUCCCCCGCCUGUCGGAGGAAUUUGAGGGCCCGGACCCGGACGUAUUGGAGUUUAUUUCCCCUCUACCAUCAGACACCAUCAUACAGAUAAUGGGCACGUUUGGUAACUAGGAUAAGAUUGAAUUAGGAUAACAGCAAGAUUAGAUUAGGAUAAGAUUAGAUUUAUUUCAAAUCCUUUCAUUUGUUUGGUUAGAAGGAUUAGUACGGGAAUAGAUAUGUGGAAGAAAUAGAUCUCUGGUCAGCAUCCGUCUUCUUCAACACAAUCGAAAGCCCAAUUCGUCAAAUUCUCAAUUCCUCUGCGAACAUAAAUGCCUCAAGCUAAUUAACAGUGGCGGCAAGUAGAUGAGAGCCUCCGUCCCUCUGUCAACUCUAUUACAUGCCCAGAUGAAAUCAUCUACGACUCCUGCAGCUUUCCCAAUCUUCCUCCAAAGUCCUCAGCCUCUCCGCCGGCGCCGUCCACAAGGCUCUCUUUCCCGGCCAGGUCGUCGUCGCUCACAUCACGGUCGUCGAGCUUUUGGGCUUCGAUCUGUACAACUAGCUAUGAUAAAGUGUUUUAUUUCGCGCGGAGACGCAGAGAGGAGGGUCGCGUACUUGCGUCGUCUUUAGAUCCGGCUGGACUUUUUUAUAUCCCACCUUUCUAACAGGUUUUGAUAUCCUGGUCUGACAAGACAUAAUAUCCUGUCCUAGAACAAACUGAACUGCCAAACGCUGGAAUAGAUAUAUUUUUCUCCUAUCCAGUUACUUAACCGGGCAAACAAACACCGCCAAUAAGUAUUAUAUUUUGCCUAUAUAAUUUGAUGAUUGCAUCCGGAGAUUGAUCUGUGCAUUCAAAUUCUGGUUAUCCUUUUGAAACUCAAUCAUCAAUGGUUCCUUUUCCUUUUUUUUUCUUUUCUUUUACCAUUAGGCUUCUAAUAAUUAGACUUUCAUUCUUUGGAGAGUUCGCUAGAUACUUUGUGUUCGUAUGAAGAAUCAGUUUAAUGGGAUUGAUUUGAAGACAUUUUUGGUCACCAGAGAGCAGACACUAGAGUGUCAGUUAGCCUAAAUGGAUAUAUGGUAGAACAGGGAUCAUUUGAACCACUUUUGAAACUGAUGCAAGAUGGUUAGACAGCGUUAAGAAAGUUGAGGUAUCUCUUUUGAUCAAUAACAACAGAAGAUCACAUCAUUCACAUGUUAUGCUAUAGCUGUUAAGGCUAACAAACUAAGAAUCAAGGCAGGUUGACCACUGUUUGCGAUCAAGAGGUUUGAUCUCUUCAAUUUGAAUCUUGAUUUGUAUUUUUCCUUUUGUUUCCAUAGACCUUUGGAAUACAAUCACAGUACACUCACAUGAUAUGAUCUCAUAUCAUAUACCUGUCAUCCUCUAUUAAGGUGCAGAUCCAACAGAAGAUGGAUAUGAUUAACAAGAUUGAAAAUUAGAAGAGUCUUUCUUCAUUUAGAUUUGCUGGAUUCUUCUUGUUUUUAUUUUUAUUUUUAUUUUUAUUUUUAUAGUUCUAUGGGCUUAAAAUGGUCUGUAUAAUAUCAUUUGACCUUCCCAACAAUUCUUGUGAGAUCAAUGUAUUCUCCUUUAUUUUUUACUUAACAACAUUUUCACCUUUUUUCUCUCUCCUUUUUUUCUGCGGUUUUCUUCCGGUUUUAUAAGGGACUGUUUCCAAUGCAUGGAAGGCAAGGAUACAAUUCUGCCAAUUUUUUAUCGUGUGGAUCCCUGUGAUGUAUGAUAUCAGAAGAAUAGUUAUGAAGUGGCGCUUAAGUUGCAUAAGAGCAAGGCAAGACAUGGCAUGGAGAAGGUGAACCCGUGGAGAGCUGAUUUAACAAAAAUGAGAAAUCUCUCUGCUACUGAGAUUGCUGUAUGGAUUUGUAAACUACGUACUACUGUACUAGUAUCAUUUUUACCUCUCCGAAUCACCCUGCAUAUUGUGUGACAAUAUCAGUGCCUCACCUCUUGCUUCAAAAUGGUCCAGCAGCUGUAGCUGUUAACUGUCAGAAGAUGCUGCAGGAUACUGGUGACAGAGGAGCUCUAGAACUGUCGUAACUUUAUAUAUAUUCUAGAUUACCCAUUCAGCUCAAAGUUAGGACAUAUAUAUGCUUAUAGGUCAGGAAAUAUUCUUGUAAAUAAAUUCAGUCUUAGGUGUAAGAGAUGAGUUAGUAAAAUCCAAAAUUUUCAGAGCUUCAAAUUCUCUUUGUUCAUCAAGCAAAUCAUAUCAGAGGGGGGUGUGUUUAUUUGUGUGAUAAUGGGUACGAAAACUAGUUAUUUGGGCUUUUGUGGAUCAAACAUAUAUGAGAAGCCAGGCCCAAACAACUACAUGGGUCGGGCCCGGAGUCUUCUUCAUCCAUUGCCGAAAUGCGGGAACUAUAGAAGUGGCCGCUAGCUCUUGACGCUCCGGUUUCCGCGCGUGGAGAGUACACGCCUGUCAGCUCAAAACUAUCAUCGUCUCCAUUCUCGGAUGAAAAUCAGGAUUGAGUUGCCUGCGUUCUUGUUAAGGUACAAGUGACCUCACUUUGUUUACCAUUCUUGUUCCUUAAUUUACUGUGUUUCUGCAUGUGUGUGUAUAUGAUCAAUUUAUGGGCUCUGUAUUUGAUUUGAGUUAGUUUGAUUGGAGAUCAGUUACUGGUUGCUUAGUUUGUGUUGGAUUUUCUAUCCGACUACAAUUGAUUGGUUGAUACUAGUUUCAUGUACAUCUCAAUGCUGGGUCGUUUUGUGUUACUCUGAUUUUCGAAACAAACAGAAAAACAUCUCAAUGUGCAAUCAGAGAUGGCCGUUUAAUUACAUAUGAUUAUCUUAUUGGCCGGCAGCAAGUUGAGAUAUUAUAACAUCUGGGUUUGGUGUUUUUUCAAGCAAUAGGUUUUAAGUACUUGACAUUUUUGUAUCAUGACAUUUUCACCAUGUGAAACCGAUAAUUAAAAUCACCUUAUUCAGAUAACUAACUCAUUUAAAAUACUUCUGUGGCCAAGUUGUUAGUUAUCUAUGUCAUGGUUGUUAACAACUUUCUUUUGGGUUAAAUAAUUUUCACAAGCUUUUGCCUUUCGUGGGUUCCAAUGAGGCAAUGACCUGCAAUAGGAGACAUUAUUGGAUCUCUUGUUGUUUCCAGUCACAGUCUCACAUUCAGUCUUCUUCGUCUCCUCCCUUCAUUGCUUCUGUCUGGAAAUCAGUUGCUGGUUUUCAAUGGCCUCCUCCUCUUCAUCAUCGUCAACUCGCAGCUGGAAGUAUGAUGUCUUUUUGAGUUUCAGGGGUCCUGACACUCGCAAAGGGAUUACAGCCCAAAUACGCGAUCGACUUCGUAGAAGUGGCAUUAUAACGUUCAUGGAUGAACCAGAUCUUAGAGUAGGGGAUACCAUUUCGCCCACUCUCAUAAAGGCAAUUAAAGAGUCGAGGUUUGCAAUCGUAAUUCUCUCGCAAAAUUAUGCUUCUUCUACUUGGUGUUUGGAGGAACUUAGAGAGAUUUGUCUGUCCAUGGAAGACAACAGAAUUUUGCCACUUUUUUUUGAAGUUGAUCCUACUGAUGUUCGACAUCAGAAGAAGAGUUUCGAAGAAGCUUUCUCUAAGCAUGAAACCUCUGGCCGACAUGAAUCAGACAAGUUGAAUCAAUGGAGGGCUGCCAUAAGCAAAGUGGCCAAUAUCUCAGGGUGGAACACAAAUGAUUAUAAGUAAGCAUUGUGCCUUCAAUUUCAAUUCUAUUAAUUUUAUCAAUUAAUAUCUGUGAUUCAAUUUUUAUUCUUCCCACUCUUUUAAAACAAUUGAGCUCCCAAGACAGGACAAAACACACGAAACACAAUUAAAAUGACAUUUUUAUUUUCAUUAUUAUUUUUCUUUGUUAUCGGUCAUAAUGUAAACAACAACAACAAAAAUCAAAAUUAUGCAGAAUACGUAAAGUUGAUGAUUGUUUCAUUUUCUUUACUUUAGUAAUGCAAGUUACAAACAACAUUAUGGACACUCCUCCUAGAAUGUUGCUUUUCUGUUUAAAUCUAUAAUUUUAAUAGUAAUUCUUUUUUUCUUUUUCUUUUUUUGAUGCAACAGAACAUCUGGUUUACAAUCGUGAAGUCUCUAGCUCUGCUUCUGACUUCCAUUGCAAGAAGUAAUCUAUAUAUUUUACCUAACACUUAAGUUUUAAUCCUUAUAACUCUUUAAUUCUUCCUUGUAGGACUCACGAAGAACUUGUUGACAAGAUUGUGGAAUCUCUCCGCAGUGAAGUACCACCAGAUGCAAUUGAAUUCACAGAUGAUUUCCAAGCAUUUGGAGCAACAAAAGAAGCGACAGACAAGGUUAUGAAGGCGCUAACAGAUGACAAGAUUACUGCCGUUGGUGUCUAUGGCAUGGGCGGCGUUGGAAAGACAAGCAUGGUGAGACAUGUAGCUGCACAAGCCUGCAGAAAUGGUACUUUUAACCACUGGAUUAUGGCUGUCGUAUCCCAAAACCUUGACUUGGAAAAAGUUCAAGGUACAUUGGCAGAUUUGUUGGGCUUUAAAUUCGUCGAGGAGACAGAAGCUGGAAGAGCAAAUAAGUUGCAUAAGGAGAUCAUGAGAAAAGAAAAACUCCUGAUAAUUGUGGACGAUGUUUGGGAGAGAACAGAGUUGUCAAAGAUAGGGAUUCCCACCUACAAUGAGCUUCAAAAGUGCAAGUCCAAAGUGCUACUCACCACCAGGAGAUUGAAUGUCUGUAAUGCCAUGAAGUGCCAUGAAAAGAUCAGCCUCAAAGUUCUCUCAGAUCAAGAUUCUUGGACCUUGUUCGUGAGAAAUGCAGGAACAAUUUCUUUUGAGCCCACCUCAUUUGAGAAAGUGGCAAGGAGGGUAGCUUUAGAGUGUAAGGGUCUACCGAUUGCAUUGAUAGCUGUUGCAAGGGCACUCGGAGAUGAGGACCAGGAGGAAUGGGAGAAGGCAGCUAACAGCCUAGAGCAGUCGCAAUAUGUCAAUCCCAACCAUGAGGAAGAUGAGGAAAAUGCGUUCAGUUGUAUACGAUUAAGCUAUGAUUACUUGAAAAAUGACGACCACAAGUCAUGCUUCUUGCUCUGUUGCCUGUUCCCAGAAGACCAUGCCAUCUACAUAGAAGACUUGUUCCGGUACGCGAUCGGAAAAAGAUUGUUUCGAGAUGCGAAAACAAUGGAAGUAGCCAGAGGAAGAUUAGUUACAGUGGUCAAGUACCUGAAAAAUUCUAGCUUGCUUUUGGAUAGUGAGGAAAAAGGAUGUGUAAAGAUGCAUGAUGUCAUCCGGGAUACAGCCAUUCAAAUUGCCAAAUCUGAAGAUUGCCAUCGGUUUUUGGUGGAAGCUGGUCGUGGUUUAAAGGAUUGGGCUCCACGGGUAUUGCAUGAAGGCUGCACUGCAAUUUCACUGAUGAACAACAAAAUUCGCAAGCUACCUGAAGAAGAGUUGGUAUGUCCAAAUCUCCAGAUUUUAUUACUAAACGGGAAUGCUGUACUAAGUGAGAUCCCCGAAAAGUUCAUCCUGAAUCUGAAAGAGUUAAGGGUCUUGGAUCUUAGUUACACUGAUAUUUCUGUAUUACCCCAAUCAUUUAGUCUCCUCACCAACCUCCAAGCUUUGUAUUUAAAUGGUUGCGACAAAUUGAUUGACAUUUCUGUUGUGGGGAAACUUAAGAAGCUUGAAAUUCUUAGUAUCAGAGACUGUUCCAUGGGGAAAUUGUCAAGAGAAAUAGGACAUUUGACCAAUCUAAGGAUUUUGGACGUCAAUUCCUCUGCGAUACGAUUCAUAAUUAGAAGAGGACGGCUGAUGUGCACAUUUCCCUUUACAAUUCCAUCUAAAGUGAUACCAAAGUUGCAUGAAUUAGAAGAAUUAUACAUGGUGUACUGUGGCUUUGAGGAGAACGGGUGGUGUGUAGCUGAGGGACCAACAGAAACAACCAAUAUUAUUAGGUUUGAUGAGUUAGCUGGUUUAUCAAAUUUGAAAAUAUUGCAGGUUGGCUUAUCCGAUGAAAGUUUCAUCCCUAAAAAUGUUGAGGUCGCACCAGAUUGGGAUUACUUUUGUAUAACUAUCAACGGCAGAUACCCCAACUCUGUAUACGAACAAGGAGAUCAUAAUUCAAGAUCCUUGUUUCUUAAUGGAGCAACCAUCAGUACCUUGCCUGAUUGGUUUAUCAAAGCGGUGACAGAGAAAACAGAGAAGCUAGAGUACAACCGUUGCGGAGGGAUGAGUGACAUUGUUAUGGAAUAUGACCAUGGCAGGUUACAUAAACUCAAGCAUCUCACAGUUGCUGGGUGUGCUCGUGAUUCUUCUUAUGUGUACUUGAAAGAGUUGGUGAACACAACAAGACGAGUUGAAACCGGACCCGUGUUUGAGAAUUUGGAAGAGUUGCAUCUGAAAUUUCUGAAGCACCUGGAGGAGUUGUGUGUUGGUGAGUUACCACCUGGGUCUCUCUCAAAUCUCAAGGUGUUUCAUGUGUUUUCGUGUACGAUUUUGAGGAGUGUAUCAGAAUUUGUACAGAGACUACCAAAUCUGGAGAAACUAGAUUUAAACUAUAUGGUCAAAUUGGAAUAUGUGUUUAGAUACGAAGGGUUCGAGCCAGAACAAUCAAAACUGAGGGAGAUGCAUUUGUUGCGUCUAGAAGCACUAAGAAGCAUAUGUAAUGGUCCCGCUCCACAUGCAAUGUUCCAGAGUCUUAAAAUUUUGACCAUUGACCGUUGCCUGCUGCUGCAAAGUCUGUUCGCAUCUGAUGUAGCGGACUGUCUUGUUCAAUUGGAAGAACUUCUUGUAGUGGAUUGCCCUUUGUUGGAAAGAGUAAUGGAAGCAGUGACCAAGGCGAAGACGGUUCUACCAAAACUGAAGAACUUGGGUUUGAUGAAUCUUCCUAUGUUGUAUGGUCCAAUUGCUGCCGUUGAUAUUGAGUGUCCUUCAUUGGAACACUUGAUGGUGGAGGAUUGCCCCAAGCUUUUAUUUUCAACUUUUUCCGAUCUCUUCAAAGCCUUCAAAAGCAGGAACCAAUUUUCAUUUUCAGCCUCGGCGUGUCAGGUAUUGACGUAUUUACUUUGUUUGUUCUUUUCUUCUGUAUUUUGUAGGGCAGCAAUUGGGCAAAAACUGAUUUGAUUCAGUUUUUAUUCUUCCCACGACAAGACAGAACACCACGAAGCACAAUUAAAAUAACAUUUUUAUUUUCAAUCUUAUUUUUCUUUGUUAUCAGUCAUAAUGUGAACAACAACAACAAAAGUCAAAAUUAUGCAGAAUGCUUAAAGUUGAUGAUUGUUUUGUUUUCUUUACUCUAAUAAUGCAAGUUACAAACAACAUUAUGGACACUCUUAGAAUGUUACUUUUCUGUUUAAAUCUAUAAUUUUAAUAGUCUUUUUUAUUUUUUGUCCUAUUUUGAUGCAACAGAACAUCUAGGUUCCAAUUGCGAAAUCCCAAGUUCAGCUUCUGACUUCCAUUGCAGGAAGUAACCAAGUUCAACUCUAUUUCUUUGUCUAGGUAUGCAAUGUGAUCAACUGAAUUAUUUUCUUUUCAUUGAAUGGUAGAUUUCUUGUGAUGCCACAUAUAUAAACUAAAAAUGUUACUUUUUUCUAAGAUAAUGGAGUUCUCAUAAUUCAUUUGCUUUCCCAAUCUUCUGUGUAUUAGUGAUUCAGUGCAACAAACAAAUUUUAACUUCAGUUUUCUUUUCCGCUCCUAUAUUCUUAUUUUUCUUUUUAUAAUUCGUCGUGAUCAAUCAUUUCUUUUUUCUAAUUUUGAUAAGUAAUUGAUGAAAGAUAUUAAAUUUGUGAAAGAAAAACAAUGUCACACUGAAAACUUUGUACCAAUGAGGAUUGUUUUGUUUUCACUACUUGCUAAUACAAAUUACUGAUUUACUGGUAUAAGAAAAUGUCUGGUUUGAAACAAAUUUCAAUCAUGAUGAUUGCAUACAUCAUGUUUUAGUCAAUUCAUUCAGUCCUCAUAUAUGUUAAAAUAAUGACUUAUUUGACUUGAAGGUUGUAAAUGGACAAGUAUACUCUGCAUAUGAAGCAGAAAUUCGUGAUUUAUGAAUGGGUACACUAUUUAACACACAGUAGUACACACACACACACACAACAAAAAUGAUGAUGAUGAUAAAUUAAGUUACAACUCAUACCCCCAUUGCUCUCUUUCACUCUUUGUUAUUGAGUUUAUCUAGUGUAUAGAAAAUAGAGUUAACAAAAGACUAGCAUCUACGAAAUGAGAACCUAAAUAUUGUUACCAAAUUCGAGUUUCCUUUGAUGCAGCAUAUUAAGCCUAGAACAAUACACACACUAUGCAUCACAGUACGUACCACUCUCCAGCUCCAACAGAAAAUCUUCAGAAAGUAUUACCACUGAAACCGGCAAAAUAAGCUUACACAGAGUUUGCAAGAGCAGCCCUGCUAUUACAACACAAUACAGUAGUGGAAAUUACAGCUAACUAUACAUAUCCAAUCUAAAUUAAUUGAUUAACACUAUUGUGAGGUGUGAACUAGAAACUAACGGUCACAUUGCCGAAAAAAAUGAACCCUUCUGUGGAGGAUCACUCGCCGGUGUUGUUGGAUGGCUUCUGUUAAGAAUUUGGCACUAGCCGACCAUUGUACAUCUUCUCAAGUAGCUGCUUUGCAUCAGGCCUCCUGAGAAGAUCUUUGUUGUUUGGUACACCAGUCCCUAAACAUACGGGGCAAACGAGUUUCCCAAGACCUGACAACAAGAAGAACCGAUCACUCAUCAAAGAAAAUGAGUAUCCAUUGCAAUAGGAUACCACACAACAGAAUGUUGAUAUGGGAGGGAAAACAACGACUCCAAUUUCACAACUAUCUGCUAUGGUUUAUGACGAUUCUUGUUUUUUAUUUUUUAUUUACUUGAUUCAGUGUCUGAUGACUGCAAAUGCAACAAAACUGUGAUAGUGUAUCGAUGUUUAUUAAUAUGGAACAAAAACAGAAAUAUGAGUCUCAAUGGGAAUUCAUACCAUAACAAUUUGGACAUUCUGUAAACUCAUACACAUCUUUAGCUCGUUUUCUGUUGAGAGAUUUCCAUUUUCCCGUACCACCACACAUAUCACCUGAAUAAAAAGCAAAAGAACAACUCAGCGACAAGCGUAUAUCGUAUACCACAUGUAAACAGUACAUCUAAACUACAAGGGAAAAGAUCAACAGAAAACGAGGCAUAAUUAAAGGAGAAGAAGCACUGUGUGUCUCUCCUAACAAAGCCAAAGCAAAAACUUUGAGGCAUAAUUAAAGCAUCUCAAUUAUUUAUAUCUAACCAGGACAACUAUAUUUGAGAUGAAGAUAACGAACACCAGGAAACCUAUUACCAACAAAGAAAACAGGGACUCGUAUAUGAAAUGAUUAUGAGAAGUGAGCUGGUACAGUAUUUGUAUUCUGCAUUACGUUUCGUAUCAAACAGACAAUUACAAUGCAGCGUGCAAUUAUAGCCUAGUGUUCAUGAUCUUAGACACCUAAAGCAAGUAAAAUGCAGUUAGCACGGUGCUCGUGAUGCACAGUUCCAAGAGUGAUCCAUCAAUUGGAAGGUAUGUUAGAUUUGGUCACAGUAGGUAAACAGCAUACUAUACAGCAAAGAAAUCAUAACAUAUCAUAGUUCUAUAUAAGGACUCAUGAAGCAGAAAAUGCACAUGUUUUGAAGUUGGAUUUUCAGGAAAACCCUUAACAUAACUGCAAAUUCAAUUUGAAGUUUAUCUAUCUCUUAUAAGCUUCAAGUUUUAUCUGGAUGGAUAAUAACUCACCGGUUGAAGGCAGGGAUCAAAACUAGACCCAUGAGAUUCAAGGAAACCAUUAUGCACAAGUUAUUGAUACGCCUUCAUCGUAAAACUCUGAAUUGGAUUUACUACAUGAACCCCGAAGCUCCCCAUCCCUGUGUACUUGACACUUGCAAUACCAUAUUCAAACUCAAAGUUAAAAAGAAAGCUAUUGGAACAUGGCGUUAAGCCAGUGCCAGCCUCGCUGAGCCGUCUUAUUGUUGUAUUGGAUGGAAUAUAGUGCAACCACACAUUACCACACAACUUCCACCAAUGGUGGUCUUCUUCCAGCCCUUGAAUGAUGCACACACCAUUAAUGUAGAUUGUACGUAAUCUGAGAAAUGAAACCCUGUAGUAGCAUACAUCAGUCUGAUGAUGAACAUAGAAUGCCAGUCCUCCUUUGCUUUCCCAUAAUUUGAAAUUUCCAGGAAUGUCAAUUUUGAACUUGUAUACUUCGACUCCUUUCCCAUAGUAUAUACCCUUAGGCUGGGGCAACCUCUGAAAGCUCAUACGACAGGUGAACCAGUCUGGAAUUUCACUUGCUGCAGGAAAGCAAUCCUGGAAACUAGAUUGCCAGCAUGAAAGAAACAGAGACAGCAGAGCUGAGACCUCUGAAUUAUCCCCCGGUAAAGUAUUCUCUUUCUUCAUCUUUGCCAAGUAAUCAAUGGCCAGAUUGCGGCACAGCGUAUGCAAAGAUGCAACUCCAUCCAGGGGAUCAUUUUUGACUCUCUGCCUUCCACAAUGUUUGACAGACUUGAAAUUGUUCUCAACAAGACGCAACCCCUUGUGUCUAAGGACUCUAAGCCAUCUAUUUCUCACAGGAACUCUAAAAUUUCCACUAGAUUCCAGCACUCUGUCAAAUUGAUGAACUCUUGAGAAUCAUAGCGUAACUUUAUUGUCUUUAACUCACACUUGGUUGGAAAUGUAGCCAGAUUGUAACAAUUGGUCAAGGUGCUUCAGAUGUUGUAACUCAAGAAUGCUGCAGGGAACAGUUGUUACGCUACAGCAGUUUGUCACAACGUAGCUCUUCAAGAUUAAUGAGAAAUCUAAUUGAUGAAGGAAAUCCUUUGAUGCCAGUACGCCCUAGGUCCAGGCUUUUCAAGGAUCUCAUCUCUUCGACAAUUUCAAACUUCUGAAGUUUCUCACAGCCACUGAGGUUCAGGUUGACCAGAUUCUUAGCAUUUCCAACCUCAACUUCAACUAAAUUUGUACAAUGACUUAGAUUCAAGUCCACUAAAUUCGGGAACAUAGACAAGCCACUGAUCUUUCUUACACCAUAAGAAUUUGACAUGUCGAUAGAUUUCAAAUUCUGCAUAAUCUGCAUAUGUGAAAAUAUUAGAAAGAAAUUAUAAUGUCAUUUUAAUCAAACAGCAUUAGACCAUUAAUAGUAAAAAUUACCUUCGGUGCCUCCCCCAAAGGUGAUGUUUGGCGGCUAUGAUGCAUCCUUAGUACAACAAGUUUCUUGGGAUAAAAACUAGGCGGAAACGACAGUAAUGGACAAUAAUCCCAAACUAGGAGCCUCAAUUCGUUGGAGAGAUAAUUUAUAUGAUCUCCAGUGAAGGAGCCUCCAGUGUAAAAAUCACGAGGGCUUACAAAGAUUUGAAGAUUUUUCAUCUUUGAGAAGCUAUCAGUGUUCAGAUGUAUCUUUUCUCCCCUGCAAUUCAGGUCAUUGAGCAUGAUGCCUCGAACUUUAUCCGAUCCCUACAACCAAAAAACAAAAAUAUUGUUAAAAGCUCAAUGUGUCUCAUAGAAUUUCACAUAUAUUCUCAGUUCUGUAUUGUACAUAGAAGACGGUCUUCAACUAUUGAUAUGGGAUAUAUCACUUACUGUGUUUUCCAUAAAAACUCGGUAAACAUCCUCAUAUAGCCAUAAUCUGCUACGCUCUCCAGGCUCAGUAGGAGACUCUUGACAAACUAUUUCUUUCCCCAUUUUCUCUAGCAGAUCAUGCAUCAAAAUGCAAUUCUUUUCAUUGAUGCUUAUGAGGGCCUUUUCUGUGAGUGCUUCAAUACCAUAUUCAGGAUUGAGAUCGCAUCCUCUUAGAAUAUCUAUCACGUAGUUCUUAGCUUUUCCGUUAAAGAAACAUGCAAUGUGAAGAAAAAUCUCUUUUGUCAAACCAUCCAGUGCAUCAUAGCUUCUUCUGAGGAUUUCUUGAAUCUCUUUCUUUGGUUCUGUUGCAUAACCAUCUAAUGCAACUUUCCAUUGAUCUACAUUUCUACCACGGAGAUGUGAACCCAAAACUACCAAUGCUAAGGGAAGCCCUUGAGCAUAAAGAGUUAGAUUAUCAAUGAGUUCAACAUAGUCAUCCAUAUUUUGGUUUUUUUUAAAGGCAUAUAACUUGAAGAGCUCUAAAGCUUCAUGAUGACUCAACUUCUCCAUUUUGUAUAUAUAAUUGACAUCAUGAGCAGUAAGCUGACCCUUAUCUCUUGUUGUGAUGAUUAUUCUACUACCUGAACCAAACCAAUCAGACUUUCCGACUAAUUUAUCUAACUGGUUGAAAUCAUUCACAUCAUCAAGAAUUAAGAGAACCUUUUUAUGGCACAACCUUUCUUUUAUGAGAGUGAUCCCUUCAUCAACACUAGUAAUCCUUAAUUCUUUCUCCUUGAGAAACUUAGAAAGAAGAGAAAUUUGCAAUUCAACUAGGCCUCCAUAUCUGAUUGAUCUCUCUCUAACAUUUUCCAGAAAACAGCUACCUUCAAAGUUAUGAGCAAUUGAAUUAUACACACCUUUAGCAAUCGUUGUCUUUCCGAUUCCACCAAUUCCCCAUAUCCCCACCAUGCGGACAUCAUCUUCUCCAACACAUAGAAGCUUAAGCACAUCCUCCACACGAGGCUCUAUUCCAACAGGGUAUUUUGCCACGCUUAACUGAAGGCGAUCUAAUAGUUGUGCUGAUAUCCGUUCCACGAUUGUAUCGAUGAAUGUAGAUUCAUGACUGCCAAUGAGAAGCACUUGAUUAUUGGUUCAAAAAAGUAUAGCAGAUAUUAUGAGUUUAGCUUACAAAGAAGACUACAGCUACCAUGCAAGCAGAGCUGUUCUUGUACAAGUACCUUCCAUUAAUGAAAUGCAGGCCAGAGAGAUUUGAUGCUUUAGUAAGAGCUUCUCUCCAUCUCAUGACUUUCUCCGAGUUGUCUUUUAAUCUGCUUUCGUGGUGAGCUAGUGCUAGGCCAAAACCACCUCUUUGAUGUCGUACAUCCGAUGGAUCUACCUUGUAAAAAACAGGGUAAACCAGUUGUUGCUUUGAUUCUUUACAGUCAAGAAUGCUGACAAGUUCUUCCAAGCACCACCCAGAGGAAGCAUAAUUCUCCGAGAAGAUGACGAUAGAAAUUCUGGAUUCUUGAAUUGCUUUUUGAAGGGCAGGUGAUAUCUCAUCUCCUGUGCCAAGUCCUUCAUUGUCAAUGAAGGUUUUGAUUCCUUUUUGGUCCAAAUUUCUGCACAGAUGGCUUACAAUAUUGUUGCGUGUAUCCACACCUCUAAAACUGAGAAAGACAUCAUAUGUCCAUGAGUGAUGAUCAUGAAUGGGAGAAGAAGAAGAAGAGGAGGAACAGCAAGAUGCUCUGCCUUGUUUCUUGCCAAGAACUGAGCGGAGAUGGAAUCCAUAUUGUUUGAAAAAAUUAGCAUGCUGGGGAUACUUGAUAACCGAAGCUGAUUGAAUGAUGAGUUUGUUAAAUGAGGGGUUAUUGAAUCGGCUGUGAUUUGGUUUGAACUUAAAUUGAGAGGAUAUGAUCAAUGCUUGGGAGGACAACAUGAUCUAUCUUCGAUCGGGCUGAGAAGUUGACCAACUAUAUAGUUGAGGGUGCAUGUGAGUUGGGGGUGCAUGUAAUUGCCUAGUAAUACUAAUACCAAUAGAUCCUCUCACAUUUGACCAUUUCAACCAGUUGAAAGGCCCACUACUCUUUUUUGUUUUGUUUUUUUUAGUAUGAAAGGCCAACUAACCAACUAAUUAAUGAGGUUUUUACAAUUAUAUUAUUAUAAUUACCACUAGCAGACUCCUACCUAGUCUUUCUCAGGCACAAGCAAAACUAACAAGGAUCGAUACCCAUCAAAGAAAAUGAGUAUCCAUAGCAGAAGAAUACAACACAACAGAAUGUUGAUAUGGGAAGGGAAAAGCAAGGGCUCCAAAACUCCACAUUUAUAACAACUCAUACGUCUGACCAUCAUAAUUUCUGUAUUAUUUCCUCUAAGAGUUCACAUUUAUAACAACUCAUACGUCUGACUAUCAUACUUCCGUAUUAUUUUCUUUAAUCCUGACAGUUCAUGUAUGUACAAUGUAUGUGAAGAUACACUUCGUGUAUUAGAGAUGUUCUCUAUGGUUUAUGACGAGUCUAUUUUUUUAGUUUCUAAUGACGAAAGUUGCAACAAAACUGUAAUAGUGUGUCGAUGUUUUUUGCAGGAUAUAUGGAACACAAACAGAAAUAUGAGUAUCAAUGGGAACUCGUACCGUAACAAUUUGGACAUUCUGUAAACUCAUACACAUCUUUAGCUCGUUUUCUGUUGAGAGCUUUCUAUUUUCCCGUACCACCACACAUAUCACCUGAAUAAAAAGUAAAUGAACAACUCAGCAACAAGGGUAUACCGUAUACCACAUGUAAACAGUACAUCUAAACUGCAAGGGGAAAGGAUACCCAAAUAAUGUAUGCAUCAAGGUUUAGUUGAGUCAUACAGGAGAAGAAGCACUGUGUUUCUCCCCUAACAAGCCAAAGCACAAACUUUGAGGCAUAAUCUAUAGCAUCUCAAUUAGUUGAGUCUAACCAGAACAACUACUAUUUGAGAUGAAAAUAAGCAUUUAAGAACACCAGGAACCAAUUACCAACAAAGUUAAGAGGAACUCAUACAUAAAGUGAUUAUGGCCAAUGAAAAACUUAAGAGUUCGUUUUCUAGCUGAACCUUCAAACCAAUAUAAUCUAUACAUCAUUCUGAGAAGAAAAGAAAAAAAAAAUAAUAAUCUAUACAUAACUUAUCUGCACACGCAGAUAUUUGGCUAGAAAUACAAUACCACAGGAAUUAUAAAAUCGGGAUCAUUUCCAAGUUCCAACCAUGAAUAACAAAACGCAACAUCUAUACUUACAAAGCACAGCUCCACAAUUUUGGCAGACUGGUGGUCUGUGUUUUCCAUCCAGUGCAACUGCCUUUAGAGAGUUGCUUAUCAAACCACCAGCUAACAUAGACAAGUGAGACACAAUCGUCAAGAGAUUAAGACCUCAGAUCUUUAAUGUUAAAACAUAUCCAUGGUAAUUUACAGUAUUGUUUUUUUUUUCUAUAAAAACUUAAACGGUAUUUUUUUUCCCGACUAACGGUAUUGGUUUUGAAAGCCUCCAACACCAAUCAGACAAUUCAAACUAACAUUACAAUAUAUAUAAAUAUAUAAACAAUUAGGUUGAAAGGGCCACCAAGUUUCAAACCAGGAGAUAGUUUCUAUCGACUUAAAAAUCCUAUCUAACUGAAACAUUCCAUCAGAAGAUAUCAAAGCAAUGUUAAUGCCCAUAACACAGGAGAUUCAAUAGAAAGACUCUAUCUUGUCUUGAACGAAAUACUAUAUCCAUGAUUCAAGACACAGAGAUAAUGAACUUGAUCUACACAGCCCAUAAAACAGAAGAUAUUGAACAAAGCAAUAGUGUCAUUACCAACAUGCAUCAGGCUACAUGAAAGAAAUAACAAGCAUCAAGCCAACACAUACCCUUUCUCUCAUGCCAUUUUUUGUUAGAAACUAUAGUAAUCGCUUAUGAUCAAGAAGAUAGCUGACAGAAAAAAGAUCAAUACAUUCGAUGGUUUAGCCCGAAUCCCCAGGACUGCCACUCUCGUUGUCAAGAUUUGGAUCUUACAUGAAACCCAACUGACUUUGAGUUCACUGCCAAAUUUCACACAUGCAAAUGAUAGUUAAAACCAUUGCCUAAUCAACAAUAAAAUCUCUACAUAUGUUCUACUGUAUUCAUGCUUUUAUAGAUACAUACAACUAAAGAAACAGAAAAAACGAGAUGAGAGUAUUUGAAAGGAAAUGACCGGUUUCAGUUUCAGAGUGAGAAACAAGACUCACAGUGGGCUGGUGAAAAUUGCGGCAAGAGAUGAGAUGAAGAAGAAGAAGCCACACCACCUCUCUUUCUAAAUUAAGCGAAUUGGGCUUUUAGCAGGUUAGGCGGUUACAAUACACGUCAUGGCGGUCGGGCCGUGAUGGGCCUACACAGAUUGGGGAUCCACCUAACAAAGUCCAAAUUUCCGAAAAAAAAAGGAAACAAAUCAAUUUUAGUUGGGCUUUUAGCGGGCUUGGCGUAGAUAGUACAUGUCAUGGCGGUCGGGCCGUGGUGGGCCAACAUGGACAAGGGUCCAACAUUUUAAAUAAAAAAGAACGACGAGUCGUAGCUCGCCGUCUUCAACGACGGAUUGAGAGCAGUCCACGACGACCCAGCCGGGUACCAUCUUAAACUUGGUUGCCGAUUAAGCUGGGAAGUACUCUAAGCAUUUGGAUUAGUUACAACACAUACCCCUUUGCUCUCUUUCACUCUGUUAUAGAAACAGAGUUUACAAAAGACUGGCAUCUACGAAAUGAGAUCGUAGAUAUUGUUACCAAAUUCGAGUUUCAAUUGAUGCAGCCUAGAACAAUACAAACACCAUGCAUCGCAGUACGUACCACUCUCUAGCUCCAAAAGAAAAACUUUAGAAUUCAAAAAGGAUUAUCACUCAAACCGGAAAAAUUUACCAUAUUACUAAAGGAUGGCCAUAGUGUUUUUACUGUUCACUAAUGACAAUAAAAAGACGGUUAUGCCCUCCUUUGUACGGUGAAAUUACGGAUUUGCCUUUUUUUUUUUGUCGUGUCUCUUAAACUUUUCUUCUGAUCUCUCUCGAUCACUCUCACUCCAUAAAGUAUACACUGCGUCAAGGUGCAGACACUAAUUCUAGUAUGCUUACAGAAUUUGCAAUAAACAGUAGUGGAACUUACAGCUAGCUACUCAGCCUCGAGGGUCCCACCUUUAAGAGGGAGAAUAGCAAAGUCAACGAACUUGAAAUUUGUAUUUGCUUGGGCCCAAGAGGGAUAGGCAGAACCCGAUCACGUCAUGGCAGUUGCCAGGAAAGUGGGCCUACCGGGGCUGGAGGGUCUCACCUUUAAAAAUAGAAAUAAAAAAAUGUAAAAAUUAAAAAUAAAAAGAUGUUUGACCUCUCUCUCUCUCUCAGACCGGUUGUGUUUUCAGUUUCAUUUUUGUUCCAGUUUUUCGACCGCCAAGUUCUAUUGUUUGUUUCAAUUAUCAAAGGAGGCGCCUUUCUCGCCUUUCUCGCCUUUCAUAGAGUUGACUAGAACCAAAAUGUAAUGAAUUUUUGACUUUUUCUUCUUUACUGAGUCUGUUAAUGGAAUUGUUACUGGGUUCUCUCGGUUUUGUGAUAUUUUGAGCUGUGAGAUUGUUUGUAUGAACUUGGAUAGUUUAGUAUUGAGCUCCAUAGGAAUCAUUGAAAUAUGAUAGAGUUGACUCCGGUUGAGAUAGAUUGCUUGGUUUGAGCUGAAUUAUAGGCCAAAAAUUUGGAAUGUUUUUCUAAAUUUGAAGCAGAUGAAGUUUGUAUUAGUAAUUUAUAAUGUGUGGUUUGUAUUGGGUGCAUUUUGUAGAUGGCUUGAUGGGAUGAGAUUCUGUCGAGUUUUUUUUUUUUUGCUGAAACUAGGCUUUUACUGAUGUGCAUGACUAGUCACCUCACUCAGUUUUGUUAUUUUAUCAGUACAUCAUUAUCUCGGUGGGGAUUGCGAAAUGGUGGAGCACAUACCUGAAGAUGUGCUAGUGAAGAUCUUCCAGAGGUUGCCCGUCACAUCUGUUUCGAAGCGCUGGCGCUUCAUCAUUCUCCGAGACCCUCAUUUCGCCGCAGCCCAUUACCAAAUCGCUUCCCACAACAAAACGCUCAGUCACAGUGUCUGCUUCCGUUUCUACCGCGACAGUUACUACCCAUUCAGAUCUAAAUUGAAGUCGUCUUCUUCUCCGGUUGAAGAAACCUUUGCUGCCCGUUCAAGAAACCUCACAGCGUGGUUUACGUGUGCCGUUCUUGUCGUGGUAUGGCGUUUGCAGUUUUUCAUGGUAAGCAGAAGAUAGAGUGGUAUAUAUGGAACCCAUCAACUGGACUCUCCCAGAAACUACCUGAUCUUGGUGGUCCAAAUGAGUUUCUGAACUUUACUGGUUUCGGCUACGUCUCCGCCACCAACGACUGCAAGAUUCUCAUCGCCAACUCUAGCCUUAAGGAGGGAGAGCAAGCCAAGAUCCACAUCUUCUUGUCGCAAUCCAAAUCAUGGAGAAGGAUUCAAGAUUUUCCAUACUCGAACUUGUCAAUGACAAUGGCGGGGAUUCUUUGUCACGAGGCACUUCAUUGGCUGAGGUUCGAUGUUAUAGUUGCUUUUGAUUUAGCAAAUGAGGAGUUUCGGACAAUGCCACUGCCUGCCAUUAGGGAGGAGUAUGGAGGUGCCUAUUUCAGAAAUGUAGGGGACUUCUGAGGUUUUCUGUGUGUGAUUGGUCUGGCGAAUGUUACUACUAUGGAUUUGUGCGUGAUGAAUGAAUAUGAUAAGGGUAACUCCUGGACUAAGCUGUUUAACUUGAGGAUUGCCGAUCCUGAUGAGCAGAUACGUUAUAUCCAGCCAAUCUUGGUUACAGAAACUUGUACAUUUCUGGAGACACAAACUGCAUCAGGAAGCAGGCCGAAGCUGGUGAGGAGUUAUCAUAAGGAAGAGAAGAUUGAAGAGGUUCAUGUGAGGGCCGGAGUGAUUGGAUAUGAAGAGAGUCUACUUUGGCUUGAGUAAUUCGUUACUCUCUGCAUCCAAAUUCUGGUUAGUUGCUCCUCAUUUCCACUCUGUUCAAUGUAUUUUUGUUUCUUUUCUCAUUGCUACUUAUUUACUUGUUGAAUGUAUGUAACUUUUGAGUUUGUGACUUCAAAUAUGGAUAGAAAGUUACAAGUCCUUCAAAAUUUCUUGCAUUAGAAAGGUGUCCUGACAAAUGGCUUUUGUGCUUGCUUGAUAUUAUACCAUCUUACAGAUAAUAAGUAUUAACUUUGCCUAUAUAAUUUGAUGAUUGCACCCGGAGAUUGAUCUGUGCAUUCAGAUUCUGGUUAUCCUUUUGAAACUCAAACAUCAAUGGUUCCUUUUUUUUUUUUUGUAUAUUUUUUCUUUUACCAUUAGGCCUCUAAUAAUUAGACUUUCAUUAUUUGGAGAGAUCGCUAGAUACUUUGGGUUAGUAUGAGGAAUCAAUUAUUGGGAUUGAUUUGAAGACAUUUGUGGUCACCAUAGAGCAGACACUAAACUGUCAGUUAGCCUAAGCGGAUAUAUGGUAGAACAGGGAUCAUUUGAACCAAUUUUGAAACUGAUGAAAGAUGGUUAGACACACAUCAUUAAGAAAGUUGAGGUAUCUCUUCUGAUCAUUAGCAACAGAAGAUCACAUCAUCAUACGUUAUACUAUAGCUGUUCAGGCUGACAAACUAAUAGAAUCAAGGCAGGUUAACCACUGUUUGUGAUCAAGAG
rnacentral:lncRNA from 1 species